GCUAUGUGCCCCGGUAGAGAAACCCUUCUACCGUAUUAUAUGUUGAGCUGUGGCACUAUGUGUGUCUAGGGUUGGACAGCUCUGGGUGAAAGAGUGAGAUGAGUCGUUAGCUCUAUGCCGCUCAUCAGGCACUCAUAGGUUCAGUAGCCCACUGUUGCUCGUCCGAUUCAGUUCGGGACCCGUUAGCUCUUCAAAUAAGGGUAGUUAUUAGCCCAUGUAGGAAUAUCGUCCUACAUAUCAGAAGUGGGAUAGGGUCCGCGUGUGCCACUGCGUGUGGAAAACCGUGAAAAUCACGGCGCGAGUGAAAAGAAAAGUGAAAAUUUCGGAGACGACGACGCAAAAGGCAGCGAGACAACAUGGCCGCCACCGUGUGGAGAAAAAUGCGGCGUAGAAGCAGCGAAAUGCGACAAGAUAGGACUGCGAAGACCAUCGAGAAGCGCCCCAGCAACUGUGUGGUGGAGCACCCGGCGAUGGAAGUAGCGCAAGUACCCCUGAGUGCCCCAGGAAAGGGAAAUAAAAAGAGAAAAAUUGAAAGGGGAAUAUGUUUCUUUGAAUUGAAAAAAGUCAUGAUAAAUUUCUGAGAAAUUUUUGGCAAUUCCAGAAAUUUCUAUGUGUUAACCCUUUUGUGUAUGCUAUGUGUGAAUGGUGGCCACCCGCACAAAAUAAUUGUCUUGUCUUGUCUUGCAAUAACAUGUCGUAACAGGAAUUCCUUUUCAGGUUAUUCAUGAUAAUUUUUGAAAAUAUUUCAUGUGAAACUGCAUAGGAAAAUUCAUAAGAAAAAAAUGAAAAAUGUUUUAAAAGUGUUUCAUAUGUUCGUGAAAUUAGCCGAGUUUCAUGAAACAAGAUUCGGCGAGAUUGAUGAAACAUGAAAUGUUUUUGCUGGAAUUUGACCAUAUCGUGACAUUUCGGUCGUGCCGAUUGAAUACUCGGGUAUUGCGUCAUAUUAAAUGUCAUUUUAUAUGCGUGUUUGAUUGUUUUGAAUAUUCAAGGUAUUUUGUGAGGAAAUGCAAGAAAAAUUCCAUUAAAUAUCAUAAAGAAAUUGCUGCAGAGAAACACAAGUCGAGAAGGCAAAACAACACGGUUGCCAUGCCCAUGGGAACAAAGAAGCUAAGCGCAAUAAUACAGCGAUUUGAUUCAGAUUGACCGACUGCAUUGACACUGAAGAUUGGCUUGUAGAAGUUGAAAAGGCGCGUUGAUGUAUCAUUGGGAAGAGAGAGUGAUAAUUCUUUAUGCAUCUAUGUGAUUGAGGAGACCAGCAAAAAAAAUGGUUCAUUGAGCCAAAGCGAGGCUGGAUUCGUGGCAAAAAUUUCGCGAUGAAUUGUUGCAAUUCUUUCCUACCGUUGUGGAUUUAAGGGCAUCAUUGUUGACACAAACUUUGAAUCUCUCACGCAACUUCUCCGCGUGCUAAUUGAUGCGGAACAAAACACUGAAACAUAGACGAUUCCAAGCAAGACAGGCGCUAUUCCAAGCGCAAAUCUGGGUAAAAUUCAGGGCGAUACCAUCCGUACCGCCAUGGCAAGAAGAAUGACAUUGGGAAGCACACAAGGAAGCCAAAAAGGAGAAUGAGUAGAAAAGCACCGAAGAUCGACGAAGCUCUGAGAACUUUGUUACAGAUGCAAGAAGACCGGACAUUUGAUUGCUCAGUGCCCACAAUAAUUCCGAUGAAUUCCAAUGUAGGGAUAAUUAAAUUGAAUUUCGAGAAAUAAAGAAACUUAAGCCUACUGAGUGUAGUCAAGUGUGAAGUCAAAUAAAAAGAAAUUACAGAAAUGCAUUGUUAUUUAUUCGAGAUUUUAAUUAGUUGUUUUUCAGGACAGAAAAGUGAAAUUAAGAUCUUAAGGUAAGCCUACUAAAUAUAAAUGGAGAAUAAUUUCUUUGUCAUUUUAGAGAAUGGACAUACAACGAGGAAGCAACAAAGAAAUGUGAAGGAUUUAAAAUAUCAAAUAUUAUAUGCCCCACUCAGACACAAUCUAGAGGAAAUGAAGGAAGAGAAUCUUAAGCCUACGACCGGAAUUGAGGACUGGAUUGAUGUUAAGGAAGGCUAUGUGCCAAAGUCAAGCAAUGGCUAUGUGCCGCUUGAAAGCUGAGUGCGCUAAACCAAGAUACAAAGAAGGAAAGGAACCCGAAGCGUAUAAUAGGAAUUAAGAAUUGGAUAGAAGGAAGAUAAAUCGCUAAUCAAGACGAGAGCCGAAGCAAGAAGACUUCGUCUUCACUAGCUGAGCCCCAGGCUUAGUUGCUUCACAGAGCUCAUAGUACUAUGUGUACUCCAUCAUGGAAAAAGAAAGAAA